CAGGUAGGCGACCUGGCAAGUUUUAGGUGAAAUCCUUUGGCUUAACCAAAGAACUGCUUAAAAAACUGCCAGGAUUGAGGUUGGAAGAGGAGAACGGAAUUCCCGGUGUAAGAGUGAAAUCUGUAGAUAUCGGGAAGAACACCGGUGGCGAAGGCGGUUCUCUAGUCCAGUCCUGACGCUGAGCUGCGAAAGCUAGGGUAGCAAACA
rnacentral:rRNA from 1 species